UACGUAGGGGGCAAGCGUUGUCCGGAAUCAUUGGGCGUAAAGAGCGUGUAGGCGGCCAGGUAGGUCGGUUGUGAAAACUGGAGGCUCAACCUUCAGAGGUCGACCGAAACCAUCUGGCUAGAGUCCGGGAGAGGAGAGUGGAAUUCCUGGUGUAGCGGUGAAAUGCGCAGAUAUCAGGAAGAACACCCGUGGCGAAAGCGGCUCUCUGGAACGGUACUGACGCUGAGACGCGAAAGCGUGGGGAGCAAACAGG
rnacentral:rRNA from 1 species